CUUCGAACAUAACGAAGCUGUCCUCCCGCUUCUCGCAGCUCCGAGUGAAAUUUAUCAAAAUCAGGCCCAGGUACAAGCGACACGAAAUUACACAAACUGUUUUCAAAAUUGAUAGGCCAUGUUGUUGACCGUAAUUAGAUUUCCCAGCGAGAUUGCGUUGCUCCUUGCAACCGUCGCCUGGAUAAUAAUUAUGGUUCAACUGUCACUCACGGGCCUCCGGGCGUUCAUCUAUCCAAUAUUUGGCAUCGUGGUGAUGCUUCUAAGCGUAGAAACCUCCGCUGAACGGCCAUGGCUUCAUCCGAAUAUUCAAUCACUGAGGGAUCCUUUCAAAUUCAGGAGGAACAUGCCACCGAGUGGACUUCAGCAAGUCAAUGAUCUUCUAAACGGAGUUCGAUACGACUGUGGCCUACUCAAUCGCAGGAGCGGUCAUACUUUCUGACGAUCUGGGACACCUCGUUGUUACAGCUAGUAA